CCUACGGGUGGCAGCAGUAGGGAAUCUUCCACAAUGGGCGAAAGUCUGAUGGAGCAACGCCGCGUGAGUGAAGAAGGGUUUCGGCUCGUAAAGCUCUGUUGGUAGUGAAGAAAGUUCGAGGUAGUAACUGUCCAUUAUUUGACGGUAAUUACUUAGAAAGUCACGGCUAACUACGUGCCAGCAGCCGCGGUAAUACGUAGGUGGCAAGCGUUGUCCGGAUUUAUUGGGCGUAAAGGGAUUGCAGGCGGUCCAAUAAGUCUGAUGUGAAAGCCUUCGGCUUAACCGGAGUAGUGCAUUAGAAACUGUGGAACUUGAGUGCAGAAGAGGAGAGUGGAACUCCAUGUGUAGCGGUGGAAUGCGUAGAUAUAUGGAAGAACACCAGUGGCGAAGGCGGCUCUCUGGUCUGUAACUGACGCUGAGGCUCGAAAGCAUGGGUAGCGAACAGGAUUAGAUACCCCUGUAGUC
rnacentral:rRNA from 1 species